GAGUUGUUGAAUCUUAAUUUUUUUUUUUUAAUGUACCAGUUUUGUAUAAAUAAUAAUAAAGAGCUCCUUAUUUUGUAUUCUAUCUAAUGCUUCAAGUUUGGUCUUGGGAAGCUGACAUUUGUGUAGAAGAUGGACUCUGAAAGACAUUCCAAGAGUGCCGCGGCAGCAUGGGAGCCUCUUAGUGAUUGUGUCAGUAUUAUUGUGGAAGAUUGCCUUUGCUGUUGUAUGUAAAGUUUCAAAUUGCUCCUCUUGUGACUUUUCAGCCAGUACCAUUUUAUUUACCUGAGCUUGUCAUGGAAGUGGCAGUAAAAAGUAUUGAGUGUUUUAUGCUGGUGACUGUAACCAAUGUCAUCUUGCUAAAUUCAUGUUUUGUACAAUUACUAAAUUGUAUACAUUUUGUUAUAGAAUACUUUUUCCAGUUGAGUAAAUUAUGAAAGGAAGUUAACAUUGAAAAGUGUAAGCAGUGGCUUUUUUAAAAUUGAGGAUUAACCCCAAGCCUGAGGUCCAGAAGUUAGCAAAGUCUGGCCAAGUGGUAGCCUGACCUCUCCACUGAGGGUCAUAAGGUCCUCCCUCCAUUAUCCGUUAUACUAUCAGCAACAUCAGCAGCUGGCCAGUGUUGUUUGUCUCAGUGAUCUUUCUUACACUAAGGGUUUUAAAAUUCAGAUCCAUAAUCUCAACCAGAUUCUCUUUGGUGAUCAGAUGGGGCAAGUUAAGAGGAAGGGAAGAUCAGCUAGCUGACACAAUGGCCCCUUCAAGUAUGUUUCAGCUUCGUGGGGUAGGGAAGGGGCUUCCUCAGAACUGACUUCCAUUCCUUUGUAAUUUCUCCACUUUUGCUGUUAGAGGUGAAAGAUUGGAGAGUUGUCUUCUCAGGAGUCACAGGGAAUGCUCGUGGAGAGACCAAAGGCUGGCAAAUCAAGUCAGAACUAACCCUGGAGUGAUAAACAGCUCUUUGGCACACAUUUACAUUAGUAUGACUCUCCUUAGGCCUCUGACACACUGUCAGUGUUUGUACUCACAUGCUGUCUUAAUUAUGGUUUCUAUUGCCGUGGUGAGACACUAUGACCAAAAAGUAACUUGGUAAGGAAAGGGUUCAUUCUCUGGCUUUUAACUCUUUGGUCACAGUCCAUCAUCAAAGGAAGUCAAGGCAAGAGCCUGGAGCUAGGGACUGAAGCAAAGACCGUGGAGAACUGCUGCUUACUGCCUUGCUCAGCAUGUUUGUUUUUAAACUUAUUUAUGAAUAUGAGUGCUGUUUGCAUAUAUGCCUGCAUGGCAGAAGAGGACAUUACGGAUGCUUGUGAACCACCAUGUGGAAUUGAAUUCAGGACCUCUGGAAGUGCUCUUAACCACAGAGCCAUCUCUCCAGCCCCAUCAGCCUGUUUUCUAGCACCAAGGACCACUAGCCAGGGGUGGCACCAUCCACAGUGAGCUGAGCCUUCUCAAAUCCAUCACUAAGAAAAUGUGCUACAUUUAAGUUGGGCUUGGUGGUGCAUGCCUUUAGUCCCAGCACUUGGGGAACAAAGUAGAUCUAUGAUUUCAAGACCAGUCUGGUAGCAAGUCCAAGGAAAGUUGGGGCUAUCUCC
rnacentral:lncRNA from 1 species